rnacentral:lncRNA from 1 species
GGUAAUGUUCCUCUCUGGCCCUACUUAUCACUCCCAUAUUAAUUUUUAGUGUCAGAUCAUGGUCAUCGUACUCUUUUUUUAAAUUUUAUAAUAUAAUACUUGAAAUUAUUUGUCCCUAGUAAAGAAACUACAUGGGGCUGAAAAAAAAGAUAAAAUUAGUGAUAAGCCUCAAUUAUUGGACUUGUUCAUGUUUAUGUAUCAUCAUUGAUAACAUAUUGGAACUAACCUUGACUUUGGAAACUUGGUGUUUGCUGUGCAGACUGAUGAAAAUUGCAAGAAUCCUACAUGGGAAGCCAUUGGAUAUCAUCUUCCUGAGACAACAGAGACUCUAUCUGUAAACAAGAAAGAAAGACCACUUGAAAGGGGGAUUGUGGAAACCAUAAAUGAGAGUGAUGAAACUCUGAAAGAAUCUUUAUCUAAGAAAGGUGUAGCUAUAGCUGAGGAUACAAAAGACAACACCUUUAAGAUUAAAUGUGAUGUUUUGAUUGUUGGUUCUGGAUGUGGUGGAGGUGUUGCAGCUGGAAUCCUUGCGAAAUCAGGUUACAAAGUCGUCGUGCUAGAAAAAGGUCAUUACUUUGUGCCAGAAGAUU